CCCCACCCUCCCGCUUUCGCAUCUUCCAUCUUGGUUUACCCUAGCAGUCGCUCUAAGCUUUCUCAUCCUACUGAUAGUAUUUUAGGCGAACUCGCUUGCAGCACCCGCUUCUCGGGUCUGGUUCUAGUUCUUCGUUGCUGUGCCAGUGCCAUCUAAACAAUGCCAUGGGCCGACCAGUCCGUCACAUCCACUGCUACAACUUCGAGUAAAGCUAAAGAAAACUCAUAGUUACUGUGUGAUUUCGGCCUCCUAGGUAAAUGGGUUUCUUAUUUUACUCUUCUUUUACUUGAACUUGUUGAAUCGUGGUUGUUGGUAUUAAGUGGGUUCCAUGAAUGUGCAGGAUACUAUACGAUUUCGGCCUGUUAUGUAAAUGGAUUUCUUCUUUUACUCUUCUUUUCUUUUAUGGCAUUUUAUGAUUAUUUUUUCUUGGUUUUGAUUUCGUUCAUUUUUGUAGGAGUAUUUUUCUCCUAUGGGCUGGUCACUCAAGAGGGACAUUGUAUGGUGUGUCUAGGGAGGCGGCUGUUGCGUUUGAGGAGGUGAUACGGGUUAGGGAUAUGGUGGAGAGAUAAAUCCUCUUAGUGAGUUAAUCGUUAAUUUUUGAAGCUGAUAUAUGUAGUUGAAAUUUAGCAUCAUUUGUUUAUAAAGUUCAUGUGACAACGGAUAUGCUCUAGCUGGGAACUGUUAUAGGUGAACAUUAAUAAAUGUAGUAUAUUUUCAUAGUUUUAAUUUUUGCCAUGUCUUUUUUAAUGAUGAUUUAGGCUUUCAUGUGGUGAUUUCGACUGAGUUUUUAACUUGUGAGCUUUUCUCUUGUUACUAGAGGUUUUUACCUAUGGGUGUAGGGUUUUUUUCAUUAAAAAUAGAAUUUACUAUUCAAUUGAUGUUGAUUUUGUCCUCCUUAUUCUCUCUUUCUCCUAAGUUCUUCUCUUCUACCUUCUUCCUUCUCUUUUAAAUUCUCGUGAUCUCUUAUGCACCAAAUGCUUCAACUGGAUUCCAUUUUAUUCAGCUUCUCGAUGUUACGUCAAAUUUCAAUUGCUAAAUACGAGCUGUUGCAAGUCUUGAAUUGAAUGAUUGGUGAAUACCAUCAAAUUUCAACUGAUUUGGGUGUCUAAAUGUGAAUAAAUUGCUUUGCUUUGGUUCAGGAUUUUCUGAGAAGUAGAGAAGCUGGUGUGUUCCUUAGUGGUGCUUUAGCGGGACCAUAACCAAAGCCAUUCUCGCUCUUGAGACCAUCAGGUUUUCUAUUUCCCCUUCACUGAUCCUGG
rnacentral:lncRNA from 1 species